AAGCUCUCGCGCGCGAGUUGCGCGCGGGCCUUCUCGAGGUCCGCCUGUGCCCGUGCCAGCAGCCGGCCGAGCCGCUCGGCCUCGGCUUCC
rnacentral:tRNA from 1 species